rnacentral:rRNA from 1 species
AGCGAACGCUGGUGGCAGGCCUAACACAUGCAAGUCGAACGAAGUCUUCGGACUUAGUGGCGGACGGGUGAGUAACACGUGGGAACGUGCCCUUUGGUACGGAAUAACUCAGGGAAACUUGAGCUAAUACCGUAUGUGCCCUUCGGGGGAAAGAUUUAUCGCCAUUGGAGCGGCCCGCGUCUGAUUAGCUAGUUGGUGAGGUAAAGGCUCACCAAGGCGACGAUCAGUAGCUGGUCUGAGAGGAUGAUCAGCCACAUUGGGACUGAGACACGGCCCAAACUCCUACGGGAGGCAGCAGUGGGGAAUCUUGCGCAAUGGGCGAAAGCCUGACGCAGCCAUGCCGCGUGAAUGAUGAAGGUCUUAGGAUUGUAAGAUUCUUUCACCGGGGACGAUAAUGACGGUACCCGGACAAGAAGCCCCGGCUAACUUCGUGCCAGCCGCCGCCGUAAAAC